CAGAGGUUUAAAAAUUGGAAACAUACAAAAUAGAGUAGAGGGUGCUUCUUCAGGCUAAUGUAAAGUUAUGUCAUCAUGCGACUUUUAUAAUGCUACUGUAGAGGGAUUGUGACCCCUGGAGUGACUCCCUCCCUGUCUGAGCCACUUGCCUAUAGACAGAGGGUCUCAAGCAGUGCUGCCUAUUGUGUCACUAUGUCACCAAAGCUAGCCAGCCUGACUGCUGCAGAGAAGUUAACACCGCUGUGCAUGGUAAACAACACCUGAGAAGCCCAGUGUGGAAAAUGCAAUGAUGCUUUGUAGAUUUUGAUUUCAGACUGUGCCUCUUCUCUUUGGCUCCCUGAUGCUGUUGCUGAGCCUUGUGGAUCUCCUGUGGAUCUGGUGUACCUGAGCACAAGGCCCAAAGGGAACCACUUUGUCUCCACGGCAACAGGGGAAACACAACGAUGGUGCUCGACUGACCUGGUAAAUGAGAGUCCCCAGGUGACUGAUGCAGGAAAUACUAUACCAGGGCACUUACUUUUGUAGUUUUGACCUGAAGGGAGACAGUGUUGUGAAUGUUCUGUACAUUUUGUAGCUCAUAUGUCGAGACUCAAAAUGCAAUGUGUCACUUUUACUUUUGCUCCAAAAAGUGACAGAAAUAUAUGUUUUAUUUGUCACCGUUCAUAAAAAUUAAUUCACCCUCUCUCCCCCCUAUUACUUAAUGAAGUGUACAUUAGUAUGAUUUUGAUGUAAAGGCACUUUAUUUUGAGUGUUUCCAUUUUGUAUGACCUUGUAUUUCACUGCAUUUCAGAAGCAAAUAUGUGGGUUUUUACUCCACUAUAUUUAUCAGCAGUUGUAGAUACUAGUUAUUUUAUUGUAUUGUAAGUUUACGUAAGAUGUGCUGUAUUGGUCCCCCUAGGUUUGUAUUAAAUGUGUGUGAAAUUG